UACGUAGGGUGCAAGCGUUGUCCGGAAUUAUUGGGCGUAAAGAGCUCGUAGGCGGUUUGUCGCGUCUGCUGUGAAAGACCGGGGCUCAACUCCGGUUCUGCAGUGGGUACGGGCAGACUAGAGUGCAGUAGGGGAGACUGGAAUUCCUGGUGUAGCGGUGAAAUGCGCAGAUAUCAGGAGGAACACCGAUGGCGAAGGCAGGUCUCUGGGCAUUAACUGACGCUGAGGAGCGAAAGCAUGGGGGAGCGAACAGG
rnacentral:rRNA from 1 species